rnacentral:rRNA from 1 species
UGGGGAAUAUUGCACAAUGGGCGCAAGCCUGAUGCAGCGACGCCGCGUGGGGGAUGACGGCCUUCGGGUUGUAAACCCCUUUCAGCAUCGACGAAGCGUUAUGUGACGGUAGAUGCAGAAGAAGCACCGGCCAACUACGUGCCAGCAGCCGCGGUAAUACGUAGGGUGCGAGCGUUGUCCGGAAUUACUGGGCGUAAAGAGCUCGUAGGUGGUUUGUCGCGUUGUCCGUGAAAACUCACAACUCAAUUGUGGGCGUGCGGGCGAUACGGGCAGACUGGAGUACUGCAGGGGAGACUGGAAUUCCUGGUGUAGCGGUGGAAUGCGCAGAUAUCAGGAGGAACACCGGUGGCGAAGGCGGGUCUCUGGGCAGUAACUGACGCUGAGGAGCGAAAGCGUGGGGAGCGAACAGG